AAACUCUUUAUUCUUUUCCUUUUCCACAAGCAUUUUGAGAAAUCAAAAUGGUAAUGUACAUUACGAUAUUUGGAAAGCCAUAAAGGGCUAAACAAGAGUAGGUUACAUCAGUCAAUCACUACUCACCCACAAUAAAGGGGUGGCUAUGUUGUUUAUACGAUUUUACUAUUAAGGCAAUGUCUUGAGUGAAUAUAAUUUAUUUCUGUUUAUAGAAAGCCUAACAGCCUCGAGGGGAAUUGCUUAUUGAGAUGUGAGCCAUGGAUUACUUCAUGUUUUGUAUAGUACAGUCACAGUUUUAAAAAACAAUCUAGAAUUCCCUGCAACUGGCAAUUUCAUUGCUGUAUGGCCUGAAAUGCCUCCAUGCCCAGGUAACGUUGGGGAUCCCUUAAAACCUCUCCCUGUAUCGGCUCCAAGCACUGGCUCCCUUUAACCCCUAAGCCCUCACAGAACAAUAAAAAAUAAUAUACCUUUAUUCAACACUCUUACAUUUUCAAAGUCCUUUCUUUAUCAUUUGAUAUUUGCAGGAAUGCUGAAGUUAUCUGAGCGGGUACUUGGCCUCAUUUUAUAUGAAGGAAAUUUAAAUGCAGAAAGACUAAGAGAUUCAUCUAUGUUUCCAUAGACGGAGUAUGCUGCAGUUGAGAUGUGAAUUCAGGACACGUGAAUGUCCACAGUUUUGCACUCUCCUAUUGAUCUGCUUUUACGGGAUUUCAUCUUGGUUGCUAUGCUACCUCUCACAGAAGCAUCUGCAUUUAUUCGCUUCCAUUCUAGUCAACAAAAACUUAUGGAGAAUUGACUUUGUACCAGGGAUCUUUUAGGUGAGGAAACUGAAAGAGGAAAAAGACAUAGUCUCUGCACUAAAAGAGCUCCCAGUCUAUAGAGGGGACAGACACACCUACCUACUGGACAACAGACCCUCAUGUAGUAAACUAGAGAACUAUUCUAAAACUUCCAAAUGGUAGAAUGAAAGGCUUUAUACCAGUUAAAGGAGUUUAGACAUCAGCUGGCAGCUGGGGAGUGGUCUGGUGAUAUGACAGUGGACACUUGGGCUGCCUGAGAGGAGCAUGCGUUGGUCACAUAAGGUUGCCUGGGCAGAGAUCAGAAGAGAUGGACCUGGUGUCUCUCUCCCAGUUUCCUGUAUUCCCCAGGCAUGACAAGCCCACCCUCUGUGACUGCUGGUGGUCUGGUCCUGAUGAAUCUGAAUAAGACUUUGACUUAUGAAAACAGGAGGAAAUGGAAAAGCAAUCCUAUUAGGGUCAAAUAUCUUCAAGACGACACACUCGUACAUUGCCAAGAAAGACUCAGCAUAAUUCCCUUGUGUUUUUACACUACAAAAGGUCCCUAUCUCCUUUCUGUAGCUGGAGUUGCUUAAAUUUGAUAUGCACAUAACUUCAGAAGGGGGUAGACAGAGCCCAUGCCUCCUGCAAGGAGUGAGAAAUAGACCUAAACGAUCACAGUUCAUUCAUUGAUUUUGCAAAUAUUAUUGAUCAUUUACUUUAUGUCAAGCACUGGGGAUAAAGUAAAGCAGUGGGAUCUAGUUCCCUACCCUCCUGGAGCUUCUGAUCCAGAUUCCUAGAGCUGAAACAGGCUUUGAAGACCUCUCAAUUUGUGGUUUCCAAAUUAUCUACCAAAGGUCAUUAAUAUUCUAUGCAAUAUUAAUUGGUAUUUCUUGGAGUAGGAUGACGUGAGGAAUUGUGUUCCAUGGUCAAAUUAAGUUCAAAGUGUUAGGUUAAACAAAGUUACAUUAGUUUCUUCAUGCCAGGCUACUCAGAGCCUUUCUAUGUUAACACACAUUGUGACUCUCUGACGGUGAGGGGGAGAGGAUGAGAUGCAAUAUGAUCAUUUGCUUUCCCCACUUAUUUCAACACAAAUCUUUUCUGAAGAGUACCCAUUAAUAAAAACUGUUGGCAGAACAUACUUCUGUUAAUGCUUCCAAAGCCAAAACCUAAAUCCACGUUUCCUUCAGCACAUGAGGAAGCUGCAGUGACCUAGAAUGGUGAGGGGCAGAACUGAGGCAAGAACCUGGAUCUCAUUAUUAUUUUCUUGAUCUUUUACCCAUUCCAUUCUGCCUGUUUCUACUCUCUUUCUCAUCCCCUGGAAAGACAUAUAAAAGCAGUGUUUCUUCCUUCUUUAUUUACCUCCUUCUUAGAUCAUGGUAAUGGUGAUUGUCUUCUCACCUAUUAACUGGUUUCUUUCUCUGCUGUCUAUAGCUUUGGGUCAUAAGCUCUUAAAAGUCAAAGACCAGCUUUUACACAAUAAACUCAUGAACGAUUAGUGAUCAGUAAAUGCUUGUAGCCAAAAAGCAAUGGUUGACAGCUUCCUAUGCACCUCUCCCCGCAGCCUCCCACACACCUUCCUCCUGUAGAUUCUCUCUCCUUGUGCCAACCGAGAACUAUGGAGGCCUCUUUUCUCCUAUAACAAUAUCACCACUGAAAUAGGUUAUGCCUUCUAAACUGCUUUAAAAGUUUCACUAAUAAGUUUUAAAACUGAUUUUGCCUAUUACACAAGAGAUUGCUUAAUUAUUAAUACAAUUCACUCGUGAUUAACUAAGAAUACACAGACUAUUCAUCCUGUCAUACAGGCCA
rnacentral:lncRNA from 10 species